rnacentral:rRNA from 1 species
GAAAAUUACAAGCAUAAGCUCAAAACUCAAAGGACUUGGCGGCGCUUUAGAUCCCCCUAGAGGAGCCUGUCCUAUAACCGAUAAUCCUCGUUAAACCUUACCUUCUUUUAACUAAAGUCUAUGUACCGCCGUCGUCAGCUCACCCCACAAAGGCCCCAAAGUUAGCAAAAUCGGUUUAGCCCCAAACGUCAGGUCGAGGUGUAACACAUAAGAAGUGAAGAGAUUGGCUACAUUUCCUACCUAAGGUGAAACAGAAAAUGCUUUGAAACAAGUCUUUUGAAGCUGGAUUUAGUAGUAAGUAAAAAAUAGAGUGUUUUACUGAAAUAGGCUCUUAAGCGCGCACACACCGCCCGUCGUUCUCUCCUAGCAUCUUCUUAAUAAUACAUAAUAAAAUAACAAUAACUAAGGAGAGACAAGUCGUAACAUGGUAAGUGCACUGGAAAGUGCACUUGGAUCAAU